UACGUAGGGUGCAAGCAUUAUCCGGAGUGACUGGGCGUAAAGAGUUGCGUAGGCGGUUAGUAAAGCGAAUAGUGAAACCUGGUGGCUCAACCAUACAGACUAUUAUUCGAACUCACUAACUCGAGAGUGGUAGAGGUAACUGGAAUUUCUUGUGUAGGAGUGAAAUCCGUAGAUAUAAGAAGGAACACCAAUGGCGUAGGCAGGUUACUGGACCAUUUCUGACGCUAAGGCACGAAAGCGUGGGGAGCGAACCGGAUUAGAAACCCU
rnacentral:rRNA from 1 species